CAGAUGCAGACCAAGAUGCAGAAAGGCACCCUUCUCAGGCCGCAGGUGUCCAGGCAGGUGUCAGAGGUGCAGCCCGUGCACACCGGGGACCCUAUCCAUCCUGUCUAGUUGAGAGGACUAGGAGUUCCACAUGUGGGACCCUCAGUUCCUGCUGCCUUCAGAACCAGGCCCGACCCUUGCUGUGACCUCGAGGGCUGCCACUUUUCAGAGUGCACUGGGCCCGUCUCCACCCAUAGACCAUACUGCCCCAUCUGUACCUCGGGCACCAAUCUCUCCCCACCACAGGGGCCUGUGCCUGAGAUGGUCCCUCUACAGAAAUACCUGCUCCUGGCAUGGCUGGCUUCUUGCCAAUUCUGGAUCUCCAGCUGCCACCCCAGAGAGGCACUGGCUUCCCUGUUUAAAGAGGGUCCCCCCAUCACCCAUCUUCACAGCAGACUGUUUGCUUGGCUGUGUGCCCCUUCAGACCCACACCCGUUACCUCCCCCUCUCCCCCAUCCUCCCACCUUCUUCCAAAGGCUGAACACACAGGAGGGAUUGGGAAAUUUGUUGAACAAAGAAGUUACACAUAAGCCCUGAUGUGUUAGCAGGACAGUGAGAUGAACAAAACGUUCUGGAAAGUAGGUGUGAGGGUCAGAUGUGGAGGGAGUGAAAUCUUCCCAGGGAGAGAACGUCUCUGGGUCAACCUGCUCCUGCUGGGCUGGGAGGGCCGAACACCCCCCACCCAUCACCCCAGGCUGGCCCUGACCCCAGCCUUCCCUGUGCCUGCAGCACCGGCAGCUGCUGAAGGACAGCUUCAUGGUGGAGCUGGUGGAGGGGGCCCGCAAGCUGCGCCACGUCUUCCUGUUCACCGACCUGCUUCUCUGCACCAAGCUCAAGAAGCAGAGCGGAGGCAAAACGCAGCAGUAUGACUGCAAAUGGUACAUUCCGCUCACGGAUCUCAGCUUCCAGAUGGUGGAUGAAUUGGAGGCAGUGCCCAACAUCCCCCUGGUGCCCGAUGAGGAGCUGGACGCUUUGAAGAUCAAGAUCUCCCAGAUCAAGAGUGACAUCCAGAGAGAGAAGAGGGCGAACAAGGGCAGCAAGGCCACAGAGAGGCUGAAGAAGAAGCUGUCGGAGCAGGAGUCGCUGCUGCUGCUUAUGUCUCCCAGCAUGGCCUUCAGGGUGCACAGCCGCAACGGCAAGAGUUACACGUUCCUGAUCUCCUCUGACUAUGAGCGUGCAGAGUGGAGGGAGAACAUCCGGGAGCAGCAGAAGAAGUGUUUCAGAAGCUUCUCCCUGACAUCCGUGGAGCUGCAGAUGCUGACCAACUCGUGUGUGAAACUCCAGACCGUCCACAGCAUUCCGCUGACCAUCAACAAGGAAGGUGGGCCCCCCUGUCUCCAUGUACAGGGCACCUGCAGGGAGGGCAGGCAGCUAGCCUGAAGGCUGAUCCCCCCUUCCUGUUAGCACUUUUGAUGGGACUAGUGGACUUUGGUUCAGAAGGAAGAGCUAUGCUUGUUAGGGCCUCUUGUCUCCUCCCAGGAGUGGACAAGGUGGGUUAGGAGCAGUUUCUCCCUGAGUGGCUGCUGCUGGGUGGUUGAGGAGAUGCACGGCUUCUAUUCCUAGUCACAAGGCUGCAGCAGACGCUCCUCAGAUGCUCUGUGCCUUGGAUCUGGCCCCACUCCCGUCCUCCCAGCCCUCCUCUCCUCCAGCUACCUGCCAGCCGGCACUUUUGGUCAAGCUGUUUUGCAUUCACUGUUGCACGUAUGCUCAGUCACACACACAGCAUACGCUAUGCACAUGUGUCCACACGCACCCCACCCACAUCCCACGUCACCCCGACCCCCUCUGCUGUCCUUGGAACGUUAUUACACUUUGAGUCACUGGUUUGCCUGUAUUGUGAAACCAACUGGAUCCUGAGAUCCCCAAGACAGAAAUCAUGAUGAGUAUGUUUUUGGCCCAUGACACUGGCUUGCCUUGUGCCAGGCAGAUGGCAACCACACAGUGUCCACCGGAUGGUUGAUUUUGAAGCAGAGUUAGCUUGUCACCUGCCUCCCUUUACCGGGACAACAGAAGCUGACCUCUUUGGUCUCUUGCGCAGAUGAUGAGUCUCCGGGGCUCUAUGGGUUUCUGAAUGUCAUCGUCCACUCAGCCACUGGAUUUAAGCAGAGUUCAAGUAAGUACUGGUUUGGGGAGGAGGGUUGCAGCGGCCGAGCCAGGGUCUCCACCCAGGAAGGACUAAUCGGGCAGGGUGUGGGGAAACAGGGAGGUUGUUCAGAUGACCACGGGACACCUUUGACCCUGGCCGCUGUGGAGUGUUUGUGCUGGUUGAUGCCUUCUGGGUGUGGAAUUGUUUUUCCUGGAGUGGCCUCUGCCCUCUCCCCUAGCCUGUCUCAGAUCCUGGGAGCUGGUGAGCUGCCCCCUGCAGGUGGAUCAUGUAAUCGCAGGGGUUUGGCAAGGACUUUGACAGACAUCCCCUGGGGUGCCCAGGAGUGUUGGGUCCAAGCCAGGAGGGCUGUCAGCAGUGCACCUUCACCCCACAGCAGAGCAGAUUUGGCUGCUCUGUCGAGCUGGAUGGAUACUACUUUUUUUUUCCUUUCCCUCUAAGUGGGGGUCUCCCCCAGCUACUAGAGCUGUCAGAACAGUGAAGGCUGGUAACACAUCAGUUGCACUGUGUAAGUUUCUCGAGGCCGGGCGCAGUGGCUCAUGCCUGUAAUCCCAGCACUUUGGGAGGCUGAGGCAGGUGGAUCGCUUGAGCUCAGGAGUUGGAGACCAGCCUGACCAACAUGGUGAAACCCUGUGUCUGCUAAAAAUACAAAGAUUAGCCAGGCUAGGCAGUGGGCACCUGUAAUCACAACUACUUGGGAGGCUGAGGCAAGAGAACCGCUUGAACC
rnacentral:sRNA from 1 species